rnacentral:rRNA from 1 species
GACGUAGGGCGCGAGCGUUGUCCGGAUUUAUUGGGCGUAAAGGGCUCGUAGGCGGUCUGUCGCGUCGGGAGUGAAAACUCAGGGCUUAACCCUGAGCCUGCUCCCGAUACAGGCAGACUAGAGGUAUGCAGGGGAGAACGGAAUUCCUGGUGUAGCGGUGAAAUGCGCAGAUAUCAGGAGGAACACCAAUAGCGAAGGCAGCUCGCUGGGACGGUACUGACGCUAAGGCGCGAAAGCGUGGGGAGCGAACAGG